rnacentral:rRNA from 1 species
UACGAAGGGGGCUAGCGUUGUUCGGAAUUACUGGGCGUAAAGCGCGCGUAGGCGGACCACCAAGUUGGAUGUGAAAUCCCCAGGGCUCAACUCUGGAACUGCAUUCAAAACUGUUGGUCUAGAGGCUAGGAGAGGUCAGUGGAAUACCGAGUGUAGAGGUGAAAUUCGUAGAUAUUCGGUGGAACACCAGUGGCGAAGGCGACUGACUGGACUAGUACUGACGCUGAGGUGCGAAAGUGUGGGGAGCAAACAGGAUUAGAUACCCGGGUAGU